UAACCUGUGUCCCGUGACAGAAUUUCCAAAUAUCUCCCAGUGACUGAGAACUAUUCGUGAAUACUGUAAUCACAUACUGAAUACUGUAAUCGCAGUAAUCCCAUCUUUAAAAAUAAAUGUUUUUGUUUUGAUUUGAAAACAAGUCCUCGACGGAUUUGCUUCUAGAAGUUGAGAUAUGGCAUGAUCCUAGCCUUGAUGGCAUUGAACCCGAACAGCAGACACCCACUGACCGCUCGCUGUGCGCCACACCGGAUCCGACGAAUUUGUCAUAGCCAAUCUCAAGCGGACACUGUCCAACGGUCUGUACACUCCACGGGACAAGCGGGGAUGGAUCAAGGUUUGGCAGCUGUUUGCUUUGAUCUUGGAUAAGAGUGGUGCUGACAUCGAGAUCUUCGUGGCUUGCCGCAACUGCUACCAUAUGCACAAGUUCCAGAUGAGCACAUCCAGUCUGAUGAAGCACAAAUGCGCCAUGCAACUGGAUGUACCAAACCACAACUCGGAAUGGAAGACAGAUAUUCCGUUCGAUUAAGAAACCAUGAAGAAAGUUCUAGAGCAGUGACCGAGUGGUCAGUAUAUAAACGCAGACCGCCUAGCAUAGUUUGUAAAUCUGUCGGGCAUCCCUGAAAGCAUUGG
rnacentral:misc_RNA from 13 species